rnacentral:rRNA from 1 species
UACGUAGGGGGCUAGCGUUGUCCGGAAUCAUUGGGCGUAAAGCGCGCGUAGGCGGCCCUGUAAGUCCGUUGUGAAAGUCAAAGGCUCAACCUUUGAAAGCCGAUGGAUACUGCAGGGCUAGAGUCCGGAAGAGGCGAGUGGAAUUCCUGGUGUAGCGGUGGAAUGCGCAGAUAUCAGGAGGAACACCAAUAGCGAAGGCAGCUCGCUGGGACGGUACUGACGCUAAGGCGCGAAAGCGUGGGGAGCGAACAGG